GGAAGAGCCAAGGCCAAACUGCUCAAAGGACUGGCAGUCUCCAUGCUGGGAUCAAAGGGCAGGUGUAGCACAUGCAUUUCUGGUGCCCUCAGAGGUCUUUGUGCUAUAGGAUGGAAAGUGGUCCUUCUCUUCAAGGGUUAAAUUAAAUACAGAGACAAAACAAACAGAUAAACUACGAAAAACCAGGAGUAACAAUGAAGACUAGUAUGAUGACAUAGAAAUUACAGAUAAGUAUUCACUUCAAAUUGGUCAA
rnacentral:lncRNA from 1 species